GAUGUACUCCCUCCGUCCCAAAAUUCUUGUCUUAGAUUUGCCUAGAUACGGAUGUAUCUAAUACUAAAACAUGACUUGAUACAUCUGUAUUUAGACAAAGCUAAGACAAGAAUUUUGGGACGGAGGGAGUACUAU
rfam:Triticum aestivum genome assembly, contig: Triticum_aestivum_CS42_TGACv1_scaffold_289196_4AL